AGAUUUUUAAUAGAUCGAUGUAUAAUAUAGAUUAGUAGAAAAUAAGAACAAACAGUUUUAUUUACCGUCAUUUCAAGCGCAUUGACAUUACCGGCUAGUGGCUACUCCAUUUGAUUUCCGAGAAGAAGAAGAAGCCGCUAGUUCUUCGCGCUUUUAAAAAAAAGACAUUACCAGCCGUCACUUCACGUCACGCAUUACCUUUACCAGCUCUUCCGUAAAAAAAAAAACCCAAAAAUGGAUGAGACAGCCGCAACCGCCGUCACCGAAACCCCAACAACUUUGUCACUUCAGACAUCGCCAUUACCAUCUCUCCCGUUUGAACUUGUAGUAGAAAUUCUGUGUCGUUUGCCGGUGAAGCUUCUCCUUCAGCUUCGAUGUCUAUGUAAGUCCUUCAACGCCCUAAUUUCUGAUCCCAAAUUCAUUCGGAAACAUCUUCGCAUCUCAACCGCAUGCCAUCGCCACCGCCUCCUUUUAAUCUCUCUCGUUUACUCCCGUGUACUGUCUUAUCCACUUCACUCCAGUUUCAUCACUGUCACCGAUAACCCCACCCGACACCAAUACCCCGUCUCUCUCAAAGAUCAAGGGUACUAUAAUUUCGGCUCUUGCGACGGAAUGUUUUGUUUCGAGGUCAACAGCUCUGUUUUUAUAUGGAAUCCUUCCAUUCAAAAAUUCAAAACAUUGCCUUCUUUAGGUUUAGCUGGUUUUCCUGCAUAUGGUUUUGGAUUUGAUACUUCAAUACAUAAUUAUAAGGUGGUUUGUGUUCUUUGCUAUUUGGAUAAUCAAGGACUUUUUGAAUCUACUAACAUAAUGGUUCAUACAUUGGGUAGUGAUUCUUGGAGAAUGAUUCCAGGUGAAUUUCCUGUCCCAAUAAGUAGGUCCCUAACAUUAGCUAGCGGCACACUCAACUGGUUUGAAUACAAUGAUUAUAGCGUUGUUUCUUUUGAUUUGGUGAAUGAGUCGUAUCGGAAAUUUUCGACUCCCAAGUACGGAGGGGAGGAUGUGGUGAGGGUUGUCUUGGAUGUUUUGAGGGAUUGUUUGUGUAUCUUAGCUCAUAGUCGCACGUUUUGUAGCGUUUGGAUGAUGAAGGAAUUUGGAAAUGAAGAGUCGUGGACUCAGUUGUGGACUCAGUUGUUUCACGUAUCUUUCUAUGAUAUAUGUACCAGGCCAAUAUGGAUUUUUGAGGAUGACCAAGUGCUGAUGAAGAAGAACAUGGAUUUGACCCUCUGUGAUUUCAAAAACGGUGCUUUUAAGAUUAAAAAGACUCAAAACAUCAAUCAUUUUAACCCUAAAGUCUACAUUGAGAGUUUGGUAUCACCUUGUUUCUAAUGUGAGGAGGAAUUGAAUGGAGCUACAUAGAGCCAAAAAGAAUGGAAACUAAGCAAUGUCAACAGAACCAAGAGCCUUUUGAAAUGGAAGCUAACAAAGCUUCGGUUCAUUCUGGCUAUUUUGUAUAGGUUCAACAGCCUGAGGUUUCAACUAUCAACUAUCUAUCCUUUACUAAGAAAUUGCCCAAACUACCUAAACUACCCUUCCCUCAAAAAUAUUUUACACUACACUUUGGACAUUUUGGUAACUAACAAAAUAACACUUAACUUUUUCAACUAUUCUGAUUUCAUGCACCAAUUGUCAACCUCUCAUUGGUCCAAAUUGAAAAACUCUUUUUCCCACCAUAAACUACUUUCUCUUUUCUCUUUCUCUUUUCUGACUCCCUUUUCUCUCUGUCUUCUCCUCUGAGAGAAACCCUAAUUUCUCUCCGGCUACCCGAGCCCUUCUCUUUCUCACUCUUUCUCAUUUCAAUCGCUCCAUUUCUCUCUUUGAAACCAACUUACACUUCUAUCGUUUAUUCUAAAUCUUGGUGCUCCUAUUGCUCUGAGGUGAAAUAAUUGUUCAAGAAGCUGGGUGUUCAACCACUGGUCUUUGAAAUGGAUGCAAUGGGUAUUUCAACUUCAAACCCUAACUAUUGCUUGCGAAUUCGUCACACUCUAUCGUCACCUGCAUUUACCGGGUCCACAAGGUCGACAAUUGCAGAAGUUUCUGAAAAGACUCACUGGCCAAUACAUAGAUCGAAAUGUAUUUGUUGAUCCAGUUUUUUGGUGUCAGGGUGUGAAGAUGUUCAUGUUUAUUUCCUUCUUCCAGAUCCAGUUUUUCCCUUUUGAUCUAUAAUCUGAGACUGCAAAAGUUACAUUUUCUGAUUAAAGCUGCUGAUAUAUACUCAAAAUUUACAAGCACGAGUUUUGAGUUUUUAACAAUUUAAAGACAUGAAGCGGCUCCGAAUGUGCAGACAGAUGGUGAAAACCAAGUUACAUGGCUAUUAUAAUAUGCUAACAUUUUGGGCAAUUGAAAUCAUCAUCAAAUAUUCAGCAACAUGCCCAACAGCAAACUUUGCAGCCUGUUUUACAAGAAAUGAAGUUAAUGACAAAUGCAUUAAGAAGAUUUGAAGGGCCAAGAGGAGCUUGGUGCUGCAAGUUUGCAAGAACAUGAAGAGAUCACAAAGUUGAAAAAUAUAGCUGUUAUUAAGCUUGAAGAUAUGAGAUUGAGGGUCUCAAUAUUCUAAAAGCUUCUUUGACAUCAACUUCUUCUUUAACAAGAGGUCUCAAUAAUGUUUUUAGUUUGCGGAUGCUGUCGUAGAUACAACUGUGGGGGCAAUGUUUUGAUUGUGUUAGGUGCAUUUUAACUUAUGCUUCUUAUGCUUCUUAUAUGGUCUUAGAUCUCUCUAUUAACUUAACUUUGCAGUAGAUAUACUGAUUCAAAUAGACUACUUUGACGGUUUAUUCUUAAAUAGACUAGGCCAUUUUGAAUCGACCCAUCUAGCUUAUCAACAAAUGAAUAAAAUAACAGUAUCCGGUAAGAACGAUCAGCAAGAUGAUGUGGAUAGUAACGCUGAAGGCUUGACAGAAGGUGACGAAGAUCAGUCUGAUCUGGAUUUCUUACGGACAGCAGGGACAUUAGAAAGAAGAAGUGAGUUCAUUCCUGGUAGAGUUGUUAUGGCUAGAAGAACAAGCUAAACAAGAAGGCCUUGGUCGUUGGAGCAAAGUUUCUCUGGCUGGUGUCCCUAUUGAGUUUGACAUUUUGUCUAUCAGCAGAGUUUGGUAUUUGAAAAGUUGUAGUUGUAUUUCAAUUUUAGGUUUGUUCAAGUUAAAUAUCAUGGAUUUGAUGGAAGUCAUUUUCUACUGCUAUUGGAAUGAAGUCAUUUUUUAAAUUCAUUCUGCCUUAGUUUUUCAAUCUGCCUCAAUAUUUUAAUCUGUCUCAUGAUAACCCUUUUUGUACUACCCUGCCUCAUAUAACUUCAAUAUGCCUUACUUUAAUCAAAUAUCCGAUUAAAAAUAGCCCAAAGAAUUAACAUCUUUCAUUUAUGCCUAUAUUUAUCAAACACGUUUUUGGUUGACAGUUUCCAAAACAUUAACAGCCCAAAGAAUUAACAUCUUUCAUGUAUGAAAAAGCAUAUUUUUCCUCGGUUAGUGAUGCGCAUCUUGCAGGCUAGGCUAGGUCCUGGAAGGCUGCACCAUUGUAUGAGAUUGAUAGGCGCUGCUGAGCGAGGCAUGCAACUGAUGGCUCACAGAGCUCUUGGUAGGAAAGCUUCUGGGAAAAUGAUUUCUCAACAUGGCUCAUUUAUUUCAGAUUUGGCCAAGUGCCGAGUCGAGCUAGAGAAAACUAGAUUACUUGUGUUGGAAGCCGUAGACCAGCUUGAUCGAUAUGGAAACAAAAAAGCUCGAGGGAUAAUUGCAAUGGCUAAGGUAGCUGCACCACAAAUGGGAUUAAUGGUACUUGACAUGGCAAUCCAAGUGCAUGGAGCGGCUGGUGUAUCGUCUGACACUGUCCUAUCACAUCUGUGGGCAACCGCAAGGACAUUGAGAAUCGCGGUCCAUACGAAGUUCACUUGGGUACCAUAGGCAAGUUAGAAUUAGAAAUACAAAGAGCCAAGCUUUGAAAACAAAAAGAAAGUCGCCCGUGCCUGUUUGGAAUCGCGGUGAAUUUGUUCAAGCUCCGAAGUAAAGCUUUUACCAUGCGGCGGCUCGCCAUGAUUUCAAACACUACAAAUAAAAACUUAUAUGAAUGAAGAUGUCACAAUCCCACUUAAUAAAGUGUUCCAAGGAAAAAAACAUAUAUUUACACUAGCAGUGUUCUGAUGUACUAAAUAUGAUAAAUAUUUGUUUUGCUGCAGAUAAAAUUUGAGCCGAUGUUGAAACAGUUGCUGAGUUUUGAUCCAGAUGAAUGGACUGGAAGUUUAAUUGAAUGCUUUUUAAAAGAUAAAAAGAAUGUCUUGCUUGGAGAAUUGUUGUCUAUGUGCUAUGUGCUAUGAUUGUUAGUCCUUUUUUUUUUGGAUGUGUGUUGUUGCAUUUACAUGCCUAAGGUCUUGAACAUUAUCAGUUUCGUAAUAAAUCAAUUAUUAUCAUUUUGGCAGGAGGAGAUAUAACUCACUCUGUGUGACAAUAGAUUUUGAAAGAAAAAUUUGUCUCUGGUGGUUAGUUUGUAACUAUAUUGUAGAUUGUUGAUGUUGUUUAUGCUUUUUGUAAGUUGGUGUUUAAUCAUUAUUCUUUGGCUUUUAGUGUAGAUGAAGAAUUAAUCAUAUCCUAAUAACAUAACAUGUUUGAUCAUAGGCCAACCAUGAACUACUGCUUUGAGACUAUAUUUCUGGAUUCUGUUAUAUAUUUAGUGAGCUAAAGUGUGUAUCUUUUACAUUA